AGUACGUGACAUCCGGCUGUACUUUUAGCUGCCUCUCCACUCACAGUAGUCCACCCGCCCUCCUCCGCGUUUUUGGCCAUGCAAGACAAGACCACUUUGGAGUGCGCUCCAGCUGGCUGCCCUCGGAGCCGCGGCAGCCCCACAGUAGACGCAUCUGGAACUCCGUCUGGAAGAUUUCGUGGAUGUCGGCUUGGACUUGGAAUCCUGCAGAGAAGAAGAGAGGAGUUAGUCUGGAUUUACAUUGCAGAUCCCGGCGUGAUGCGCGACGGUUCGAGCCGCCUCCAGAUGGUGCAUGACCACGUCGACGCCCACUUCCGAGCUCUCCCAUGGCUCCAGAACCUCCCCGAGAGCCAGGCCUCGCUCCAGCAAAGACAGGACGGGGAUGAUGUGCGGGAAGGUGGUGCUGGAUACGACGCUGCUCUCUGGAGGCAAAGAAAAAAGAAAAAGAAAUAACCACCGGUGAGGACUUUAUUUUACUUGCUGCUUACCUUUGCCAUCAUUCAAAUUCUUCAGGAAAGGUUUGAGCUUCUUCUCAUACAGGAUGGCACCUUCUGUAUGUCUCUGGCGUAACGUCACCCACGUCUGCUCCAGCCUGGAAAUCUGAAGCACAAUCACGUCAAAGAAAAGUACAACACAGAAUGAAAGCAUGCAUGACGGCAACCGUGUUUCUCUUACCUGUGGCAGCUCCAAGGCCCUCAUCACAGCGGCGAAGCCAAACAUGUUCCCCAAGUUGCUCUUCAGCUCAGCCGCCAACUGGAUGGUCUUGUGGAGCAGGGCCGCCCGCUCCUCGGUGCUUCCCGUGCAACCCAGCAGGUCCACGGCCGUCAUGAUAGACAUGGUGUAGAACCUGAGUGAAGAUGAAUUUGACUGAGACUGCUGUUUUGGUUAGCAACAGAGCAGUGAUGGAUGGAUGGAUGGAUGGAUGGAUGGAUGGAUGGAUGGAUGGAUGGAUGGAUGGAUGGAUGGAUGGAUGGAUGGAUGGAUGGAUGGAUGGAUGACAGUAGAAGCCAGCGCACCUCUCCAGUAGGUCAAGUCUUAGCUGGUGUCCGUGAGGUAGUGUGAGUAACUCCAAGCCCGAGGACACGCCCAUCAUCCUUUGCAUGUCCGAGUUGACACCCAGUAUUCUGGCAAUCUGCUCAAGAGGGGAUGGGACAAAAUAUUGGAUUUCUAUGCCGCUUGCCCUCACUCAUGUGAAGUUCUGCCCAAUUUAUGCUGAUAUGUGUAUUUACAUACCGUGCAGUCCACCAAGGUGAUGUGCUUUGCCGCCGUCCUCGCAUCCACUUCAGCCAGCAGCUCUUUCACUCUCUUUAGCACGGACAUCUCCAGAGGUUUAUUGUCAGCCGGCAUUAUGCCAGACUCAUAUCUGAAUAGGCACAAGAUAAGUAUGAAUGAUGAAAAUCGAAUUAUUUAUUUUUCACAAGUUGGUUUCAUACCUGGAUGGUCGAAACAAGGAAGCCGUCUCCACCUGAGGAGUGCUGCACAUUCCGUCUCCCUCCUCCCUCACACCCUCAUUCCUCCCCUCCUCCACCCGCAAGCGCUCCACGUAACCCUUGGUGGGAGGUUUAGGUGGUCCGGCCGGGCAAGGUCUGAGGUCGCAGUAGCUGCCCGCCGUUUCGGAAGACUGAAAAGUCGAAUGAUGGGCGGGAGAGGAGUGCGCCGAGUGAAAGACGGGAUGCUCUGGGGGGUUGUUGCCGGAAGAUGGGCUGAGCUGAGGGUCGCUGGAACGGCGUGUGACGGGGGAAGGGGGCACCACCGCCAGGACUCGCCCACCCGAAUGGGCUCUUUGUCUGGUAACUGGAGAAAAGACAUUUGAAUCCAAAUCAGUCCUCUCAUUGUCUUUAAAGUGGAUCUGUGUAACCCAAUAACGUACUUGCACAGUAUGCAGGAGACAUCGGCGUCUCCCGGACAGGCGACAAGGGGCAGCGAUACUCUUGAAUCUGGUCCAUGCUCAUUGCGCAGUUCCUCAUUGCAUCUUUGUGGUGGUGAAUGGUGGAAGGGCUACAAACACAGUCGGCACUUGUUAAAAAUCCCUAUGGGUGGAUUUACAUGUUAACAUGGCAGGGGGUUAGUGUCACAUGACAGGAAGUGGCGUGGUUAUAGGAGCUUAUUGGUGUUUAUACGGGUUCAAGGCUGAAGAUUGUAAAAAUCAAAAUUGGUGGUCCACCUAAUUUAACACACUUCUGGGGACGUGGUGCUGAUGAGGUGAGGGACUGCAGGGAUGUGGCAGGUGUACUAGAGCUACACACUUGUGUCUCACACACACAUGUAAUACACACACCAGCUGCAUUUGGACGCAGGUUGCGGCUGAGGGUCCGCUGGUGCCUCAACUGGACUCGGGCUGUCUGAGUCACUGAUUGCGUGUGCAACAAGAAGCAAUAAAAUGACAUCAUGGAUAAGAAUGUAGUAACAAUGGUUCAAAUGGGGAGACCAUGACUAGGCACAUUUUAUCGGUAGUAAAUUAAUAAACGACAAAAUCUAAAAAGUUUUGAAUCCUGAGAUGAAUUUAUAUUUAGAAGACCACUCCUCUCAGCUCACCUGUGAGGCAUCAUCUUCUCCGUGGUGAGCCCGUCCAUCAUGGUGACGCUCCGCCUCUUGAUGUAAGCUCCCCUCUGAUUGGACGGCGAGUAGGCGCAGCCGUGCUUGCCGCCGGAUAGGGCGAAAGUGGCCUCCAGGUAUCGCAACGGGAGAGUCCGGCUCACCGGACAGUAGAUGUGGACACCGCUGGACUGCGAGAUGGCUUUACGCUGACUUGCGUAGAAGCGCACCAGCUCCUGGACCGAGUCGAAGCUUUCCGACUCCAGCACGUACUGCACCUAAUAUUGACCACCCAGAAGAAACGUGACAUUUACUGAUCCCAUGUUGCCAUUUGCCUUGAAAUGAAGAGUGCGCACCUUGGUGUCGCUGGAUUUGACCAGGACUUUGCUGAUCUUGAAAUGCAGCACAUCGUUAUCCCACCGACAGGUCAGCACGUAGUCACUCGCGUUGAUCAGAGAGUCACGGACCAGGAAGUCUCCGUGAUGCUGCACCAGAGUCUCGGACACCUAGACACAAAGAACAUACACCAUUGAAAGAAAU